UACGUAGGGGGCAAGCGUUAUCCGGAUUUACUGGGUGUAAAGGGCGCGUAGAUGGGAAAAUAAGUUAGUAGUGAAAUAUCAAGGCUCAACCUUGAUGCUGCUAUUAAAACUGUUUUUCUUGAGUGCAGGAGAGGAAAGUGGAAUUCCUAGUGUAGCGGUGGAAUGCGUAGAUAUUAGGAGGAACACCAGUGGCGAAGGCGACUUUCUGGACUGCAACUGACAUUGAGGCGCGAAAGCGUGGGGAG
rnacentral:rRNA from 1 species